GAUGAACGCUAGCGGCAGGCUUAACACAUGCAAGUCGAGGGGUAUCACGCUUUCGGGCGUGAGAGACCGGCGCACGGGUGCGUAACGCGUAUACAAUCUACCUUUUACAGAGGGAUAGCCCAGAGAAAUUUGGAUUAAUACCUCAUAGUAUUUUCGAAUGGCAUCAUUUGAUUAUUAAAGUUCCAACGGUAAAAGAUGAGUAUGCGUCCCAUUAGCUAGAUGGUAAGGUAACGGCUUACCAUGGCAACGAUGGGUAGGGGUCCUGAGAGGGAGAUCCCCCACACUGGUACUGAGACACGGACCAGACUCCUACGGGAGGCAGCAGUGAGGAAUAUUGGACAAUGGGCGCAAGCCUGAUCCAGCCAUGCCGCGUGCAGGAUGACGGUCCUAUGGAUUGUAAACUGCUUUUGUACAGAACGAAAAGGCUCUGGUUAAUACCUGGGGCUCAUGACGGUACUGUAAGAAUAAGCACCGGCUAACU
rnacentral:rRNA from 1 species